UUACAUCACCAGAAGGAAAGGGAAAAAGUUUGCUGAGCAGCUAACUUGUGUCUGCUACACCAUGGAACUUCUGGGAUUCUUCUCCCACUUGGCAGAAACAAAGGUCAAAUACAUCAAUUCCUGAGACGCAGUGAGGGCCAAAGGUCUUGCUUUUGACAAUCUGUUGCCUGUUUUAUGUGCACAACAACAGCCUUGGAUAUCUAGAAGGAAGCAAGGACACUGAGACCCAGGAUGUUGACAUCACUUGCCCACUGUAAUGAAGUGGCUGGGGACAGCAACAGGGUUCGGUCUGCACCCCACAUGUCAUGCAUGCUGCCUCUCAACCGUAGUGCGGAAGCCGCGUAGACUACCUGCUGCGGCAGAAGCGUGAGCAAAACACUCCGAGUCUGGUCAGUGGGACAGAGCAGGCUUCCUCGCCACCACCCUGGAGACGGUGGGCAUCAACUUCCCCACCCCGGAGGAUGGCACACCCCUGCAUGGAGACAAGAGACAUGUUUGCCAAGGAGAAGAAAUCCCCGUGACCUUAUCAUCCCAUCAAACCAACUGUUUUCAUUUUUCUGGGCUUCCUCCAUCCCUGUCUUCACCGUUGAAUCACAGUGCUGCUGCACUUCCAGUGGUAACUUUCUUUUUCUUGCUUGACCUCAUGUGACGUCAGGCAAGCCCCGGCCUCCUCGUCUGGGCGGCAGGAUUGUCUUAGUGCCCGCCUCACGGGGUGGCGAGAGCCUGCGACGAGGUCAUGACCGUAACGUGCCUGGCACACAGUAGGUGCUCAGCAAA